rnacentral:rRNA from 1 species
CUACGGGUUGCUGCAGUGGGGAAUAUUGGACAAUGGGGGAAACCCUGAUCCAGCAAUGCCGCGUGUGUGAAGAAGGCCUGCGGGUUGUAAAGCACUUUCGGUUGGGAGGACUGCUUCUAGCACUAAUAUUGUUGGAAGUUGACGUUACCUUCAGAAGAAGCACCGGCUAACUCCGUGCCAGCAGCCUCGGUAAUACGGAGGGUGCAAGCGUUAAUCGGAAUUACUGGGCGUAAAGCGCGCGUAGGCGGCUAGAUCAGUCGGGUGUGAAAGCCCCGGGCUUAACCUGGGAACUGCAUCCGAUACUGUCUAGCUUGAGUACAGGAGAGGAGAGUGGAAUUCCACAUGUAGCGGUGAAAUGCGUAGAUAUGUGGAGGAACACCAAUGGCUAAGGCAGCUCUCUGGCCUGAUACUGACGCUGAGGUGCGAAAGCGUGGGGAUCAAACAGGAUUAGAUACCCCCGUAGUC